AGCACACGUCCUUAAUAGAAACGGCUUUAUGCCGGAGGUUGAAAAGCGGGUGCAAUUUCCGGCGUGUGCA
ncrna:unclassified sequences RAGATH-21 RNA